UCUUGGUCUCUGGGUCUUGGUCUCUGGGUCUCUAGGUCUCUGGGUGUCUGGGUCUCUGGGGCUUGGUCUCUGGGUCUGGGUCACUGGGUCUCUGGGUCUCUGGGUCUGGGUCUCUGGGUCUUGGUCUCUGGGUCUCUGGGUCUGGGUCGCUGGGUCUCUGGGUCUCUGGGUCUCUGGGUCUCUGGGUCUCUGGGUCUUGGUCUCUGGGUCUGGGUCUCUGGGUCUUGGUCUCUGGGUCUGUGUCGCUGGGUCUCUGGGUCUGGGUCUCUGGGUCGUGGUCUCUGGGUUGCUGGGCCUCUGGGUCUUGGUCUCUGGGUCUCUGGGUCUUGGUCUCUGGGUCUCUGGGUCUGGGUCGCUGGGUCUCUGGGUCUCUGGGUCUCUGGGUCUGGGUAUCUGGGUCUCUGGGUCUCUGGGUCUGGGUCUCUGGGUCUGGGUCUCUGGGUCUCUGGGUCUGGGUCGCUGGGUCUCUGGGUCUCUGGGUCUUGGUCUCUGGGUCUGCUGGGUCUCUCUGGUCUCUGGGUCGCUGGGUAUCUGGGUCUCUGGGUCCCUGGGUCUCUGGGUCUUGGUCUCUGGGUCUCUAGGUCUCUGGGUUUCUGGGUCUCUGCGGCUUGGUCUCUGGGUCUGGGUCACUGGGUCUCUGGGUCUCUGGGUCUCUGGGUCUCUGGGUCUGAGUCGCAGGGUCUCUGGAUCUCUGGAUCUCUGGGUCACUAGGUCUCUGGGUCUCUGGGUCUGGGUCUCUGGGUCUGGGUCUGGGUCUCUGGGUAUGAGUCUCUGUGUCUAGGUCUGGGUCACUGGGUCUUUGGGCCUGGGUCUAGGUCUCUGAGUCUUUGGGUCUCCGUCUGUGGGUCUGGGUCUCCGUGUCUCUCGGGUCUCUGCGUCUCUCGUGUUUCUGUGUCUCUGUGUCUCUGGGUCUGGGCUGAAUCAAAUGCUUGGCUGUUGACUCCAG
ensembl:lncRNA